UAGCUCAGCUGGUAGAGUGCUUGCCUCGCAUGCAUGAAGCCCUGGGUUCAAUCCCCAG
rnacentral:tRNA from 1 species